rnacentral:rRNA from 1 species
GUUAUAUAGUCAAGUGAUUAAGCGUACACGGUGGAUGCCUUGGCAGCCAGAGGCGAUGAAGGACGUUGUAGCUUGCGAUAAGCUUCGGGGAGGUAGCAAACAACCUUUGAUCCGGAGAUUUCCGAAUGGGGAAACCCACCUGUCAUAAGGCAGGUAUCGCAUACUGAAUACAUAGGUAUGCGAGGCGAACGCGGGGAACUGAAACAUCUAAGUACCCGUAGGAACAGAAAUCAAUUGAGAUUCCGUCAGUAGCGGCGAGCGAACGCGGAUUAGCCCUUAAGUCUGUGAAAGAUUAGGAGAACGGUCUGGGAAGGCCGGCCAUAGUGGGUGAUAGCCCCGUAUCCGAAAAUCUGAUCAGGUGAAAUCGAGUAGGUCGGAGCACGUGAAACUCUGAUUGAACAUGGGGGGACCAUCCUCCAAGGCUAAAUACUCCUGGCUGACCGAUAGUGAACCAGUACCGUGAGGGAAAGGCGAAAAGAACCCCGGAGAGGGGAGUGAAAUAGAACCUGAAACCGUGUACGUACAAGCAGUCGGAGCCCUCUUUGUGGGGUGACGGCGUACCUUUUGUAUAAUGGGUCAGCGACUUAAUUUCAGUAGCGAGGUUAACCGUUUAGGGGAGCCGUAGGGAAACCGAGUCUUAAUAGGGCGUUUAGUUGCUGGGAUUAGACCCGAAACCGGGCGAUCUAUCCAUGGGCAGGUUGAAGAUGCGGUAACACGCAUUGGAGGACCGAACCGACUACCGUUGAAAAGUUAGCGGAUGACCUGUGGAUCGGAGUGAAAGGCUAAUCAAGCUCGGAGAUAGCUGGUUCUCCCCGAAAGCUAUUUAGGUAGCGCCUCGGACGAAUACCACUGGGGGUAGAGCACUGUUUCGGCUAGGGGGUCAUCCCGACUUACCAAACCGAUGCAAACUCCGAAUACCAGUGAGUACUAUCCGGGAGACACACGGCGGGUGCUAACGUCCGUCGUGAAGAGGGAAACAACCCAGACCGCCAGCUAAGGUCCCCAAAUUCCAGUUAAGUGGGAAACGAUGUGGGAAGGCUCAGACAGCUAGGAGGUUGGCUUAGAAGCAGCCACCCUUUAAAGAAAGCGUAAUAGCUCACUAGUCGAGUCGGCCUGCGCGGAAGAUGUAACGGGGCUCAAACUGGAUACCGAAGCUGCGGCAGCAGACUUGUUCUGCUGGGUAGGGGAGCGUUGUGUAAGCCUGUGAAGGUGUGUUGAGAAGCAUGCUGGAGGUAUCACAAGUGCGAAUGCUGACGUGAGUAACGAUAAUGGGGGUGAAAAACCCCCACGCCGAAAGACCAAGGUUUCCUGCGCAACGCUAAUCGGCGCAGGGUGAGUCGGCCCCUAAGGCGAGGCAGAAAUGCGUAGCUGAUGGGAAACGGGUUAAUAUUCCCGUACUUCUUAUAACUGCGAUGGAGAGACGGAGAAGGCUAUGCCUACCGGGCGUUGGUUGUCCCGGGGAAAGGCUGUAGGCUGAGGUGUUAGGCAAAUCCGGCACCUUAAGGCUGAGAGUCGAGACCACUGGUCCUUUGUGACCGGGAAGUGGUUGAUGCCAUGCUUCCAGGAAAAUCUUCUAAGCUUCAGGUUAUAAGGAACCGUACCCCAAACCGACACAGGUGGUUGGGAUGAGUAUUCUAAGGCGCUUGAGAGAACUCGGGUGAAGGAACUA